AUUGAACGCUGGCGGCAUGCUUUACACAUGCAAGUCGAACGGUAACAGGUUAAGCUGACGAGUGGCGAACGGGUGAGUAAUGCAUCGGAACGUGCCCGAUCGUGGGGGAUAACGCAGCGAAAGCUGCGCUAAUACCGCAUACGAUCUGAGGAUGAAAGCGGGGGACCGUAAGGCCUCGCGCGAGCGGAGCGGCCGAUGUCAGAUUAGGUAGUUGGUGGGGUAAAGGCUCACCAAGCCAACGAUCUGUAGCGGGUCUGAGAGGACGACCAGCCACACUGGGACUGAGACACGGCCCAGACUCCUACGGGAGGCAGCAGUGGGGAAUUUUGGACAAUGGGCGAAAGCCUGAUCCAGCAAUGCCGCGUGCAGGAAGAAGGCCUUCGGGUUGUAAACUGCUUUUGUACGGAGCGAAAAGGCUCUCUCUAAUACAGGGGGCUCAUGACGGUACCGUAAGAAUAAGCACCGGCUAACUACGUGCCAGCCGCCGCAGUAA
rnacentral:rRNA from 1 species